rnacentral:lncRNA from 1 species
GUAGAAAUGUUCACUAUCAAAUCUAUUUUCCAAAUCAAUAAAGUUCAUGAAUUUCUGACUCUUCUAUAAAUGGAAAAUGUUAUUUCUUCUAAGGGUGCGCAAAUAUUUUUCUGAACAGAUUUCAGGUGCAGAGGUCAGGAUGUGUAGGAUUUUUUUCAGAUGGAUUUUCAAGAACCAAAUAGUUUCAGAUUUCUAUAAAAUUUAAAAUCCCACUUAACAAUCA